CCUACGGGUGGCAGCAGUGGGGAAUAUUGCACAAUGGGGGAAACCCUGAUGCAGCGACGCCGCGUGAGCGAUGAAGUAUCUCGGUAUGUAAAGCUCUAUCAGCAGGGAAGAAAGUGACAGUACCUGACUCAGAAGCCGCGGCUAAAUACGUGACAGCAGCCGCGGUAAUACGGCAGGGGCAAGCGUUAUCCGGAUUCACUGGGCGUAAAGGGGGGGCAGGCGGGAAGGCAAGUCUGGGGGUAAAAGCCGGGGCUUAACCCCGGGACUGGAUUGGAAACUGCCGGGCUGGAGUGGUGGAGGGGUAAGCGGAAUUCCUGGUGUAGCGGUGAAAUGCGUAGAUAUUAGGAAGAACACCAGUGGCGAAGGCGGCUUACUGGACGAUGACUGACGCUGAGGCUCGAAAGCGUGGGGAGCAAACAGGAUUAGAUACCCCAGUAGUC
rnacentral:rRNA from 1 species